UAAAGAAAAUAUUUUAUUCAAUUUUGUUAUGUAAAAUUGUCUAUUGUUUGUCUACCUGAAGUGUUAUAAAGAAAAUAUAUUUAUCACUUCAGGUCCCAUUUGACUCGACCCGUCAGGCCCUAUCACUAUAGUUCUAUGUGUCACCAUUUCUGGUCUGAAUCAAGUGUACUGCGGUUCUCUAUCACUUUUCUUAAGCGCUGAUGCAUGACACUUCCACGAUAUAUCUCAUAGAAUACGUAAUAAUAAAACAAUCCACGUUAAAACUAUAGGGUAGGGUUCUAUCAGGUGACACACAACAAAUCAACAAUCUGUAACAAACAGAAAAUAUAUGAAAAUAGAUCAUUUUAAUCACUAUUUCUAAUUCAAUACAUAAUUUUUGGUGUGAUCUGAAUAAAAAAUAGUAUUUUGUAUAGUGAUCAGAUGUAAGUUAAUAACUCAUAUGUAUUGUUCUAAUAUAGUUGAGACAUAAUAGUUUGACUGUUUCUAUAAACAACUAAAAAAAAGUUAAACAAUAAUAUGAUUACCUAACAAUAAUUAGAAAAAAACGAGUCAAACAAAUCUAACCAAUUUUUAUGGAUCUCCAUGCAAGACGCAUUGCUAGUUUACAUACUUCUAUCUAUAAAUUAAUCUAAAUAAAAAUUACACCAAAAAUGAGUAAACGUAUAAUAUUCAAAAGAAUAAUAAUAAACGUGUUUGUAUCGUAAGAAUAAUAUGUCGUCAUCACAGUUCGCUAUCUUUUGCAUCAUCUUGACUGCUUUAUUCUCUCUUCAUGAAUUUGUCGAUGGCCAAAACGAUUGCAGGCAAAUAAUAUGCCCAGUCGCCCAAAAACAUUUACGCAAAUGUAUUUGUUGUUUGGUCCCCAACGCUAUUACUGAGCCCAAGUGUUACUCGAAGAAACAAGACUGUAUGCGCAAUUGCAACAUAUUAUAAGUUAUCUCGAGGACUUACAUCAAUGAUUUAAAACAAAUUAUGAAUAACCUUUUUAUUUAAUAACUCCUAUAUUUACCUUCGUUUUAUAUGAAUAAUACAAGCUUAUUUGGAGCCCAACAAAUAUAAUUAUGCCUAUUGUACGUAAUGCACACUAGUUAAACCUAUUUUCUACCUUUUCUUUUGGAUUUUCUAUUAGUUUCUAAAAAAUAUUUUUUCUGGAUAAUAACUAAAUAUAAGUUUUAUAACUUCAGAUGUCUUUAAUAGUAAAUUGUAUAAUUUAUCUAUGUUUUUCUACACCGAAUCAAUACCUCUUGUGGGUAAAGAAAAAAAUAAAAAAAUAAAAAAUAUAAUUUUUUUAA